rnacentral:rRNA from 1 species
AUUGAACGCUGGCGGCAGGCCUAACACAUGCAAGUCGAGCGGAUGAAGGGAGCUUGCUCCUGGAUUCAGCGGCGGACGGGUGAGUAAUGCCUAGGAAUCUGCCUGGUAGUGGGGGAUAACGUCCGGAAACGGGCGCUAAUACCGCAUACGUCCUGAGGGAGAAAGUGGGGGAUCUUCGGACCUCACGCUAUCAGAUGAGCCUAGGUCGGAUUAGCUAGUUGGUGGGGUAAAGGCCUACCAAGGCGACGAUCCGUAACUGGUCUGAGAGGAUGAUCAGUCACACUGGAACUGAGACACGGUCCAGACUCCUAGGGGAGGCAGCAGUGGGGAAUAUUGGACAAUGGGCGAAAGCCUGAUCCAGCCAUGCCGCGUGUGUGAAGAAGGUCUUCGGAUUGUAAAGCACUUUAAGUUGGGAGGAAGGGCAGUAAGUUAAUACCUUGCUGUUUUGACGUUACCAACAGAAUAAGCACCGGCUAACUUCGU